rnacentral:rRNA from 1 species
UGGGGAAUAUUGGACAAUGGGCGCAAGCCUGAUCCAGCCAUGCCGCGUGAGUGAUGAAGGCCCUAGGGUUGUAAAGCUCUUUCACCGGUGAAGAUAAUGACGGUAACCGGAGAAGAAGCCCCGGCUAACUUCGUGCCAGCAGCCGCGGUAAUACGAAGGGGGCUAGCGUUGUUCGGAUUUACUGGGCGUAAAGCGCCCGUAGGCGGACUUUUAAGUCAGGGGUGAAAUCCCGGGGCGCAACCCCGGAACUGCCGUUGAUACUGGAAGUCUUGAGUAUGGUAGAGGUGGGUGGAAUUCCGAGUGUAGAGGUGAAAUUCGUAGAUAUUCGGAGGAACACCAGUGGCGAAGGCGGCUCACUGGACCAUUACUGACGCUGAGGUGCGAAAGCGUGGGGAGCAAACAGG